CUCCUGUCUGCUGCAGCCUCACACACCAGACAGUUCUCAAGAUGUCCUUCGGGGGAGCCUCCAGGAAGGGUUGGAGACUCUCAUCUCUACUUCUACCCAUUCUUGGUCCUCAGAAAUCCUUCUACUGCUUCCAUACUGCCUCAGGGCACAAAGAAUUGCUGAGCAGCCAUCGGAGGUGAUACGUCUCUAGAGAUAUAAACAGCUCCCUCUCAUUAGGAUCUGGUCACUUCCCUGCUUCUUUUCUGGAACUCCACUUGGAACGAAGAAGAGGCACUAGGUGCAUGCCUACACAGAGGAAAGCCAUGUGAGGACACAGCGAUAAGAUUGCUGACUGCAAGCUCAGGAGAACUUAGAAGAAACCAACCCUACCAGCACCUUGAUCUUGGACUUCCAGCCUCCAGAACUGUGAGAAAGUAAAUUUCUGUUGUUUAAAUCACCCAGUCUAUGGUAGUUUGUUAUGAUGACCCAAGCAGAAUAAUGCAUACCAUGAUUCUCUUCCAUUCUCUCAACUCAGGACAUCCUUUCCCAGUGUUGGGGUGGUGGAGGGGAAUGACAUAGAUGUUCGUGGAUGGAGAGAAGGCCUUCCUGUUGUUAAGACUUUUUUCUUAGCUCCAUCAUCCAUGUGACAUGCCCUUGCAUUCUUUUUAGUGUCUGGGCCAGUCUGCCAUGGCUUUUCAGAAAGCAGGGCCCAAGCACACCUUUGGAUUCAACCUGAGUGGGUUCUAACCAAGAAUACCAGUGAACACACCCCAUGGAAGGGGCCUCAUCAGUAGAGGUUGUAUUCCGAAUACUUGUGAACAUUUUUUGGUCUGAGAUGAACACAGCAUUCCCUCUUUGGAGCACUGUGGGCAUUAUAUUUGCAAAAGGGAAUAAUGUUAGGCUCCUUCAGAAAAACAAAGUGGUGCACCAGCAUCUCAGCUGUGGAAAGAGCUCAGACCUUGGUAACGUUUCAAAGUACCAUGGAUGUGAGGGACAGUCAGUGACCACAGAAGGAACUUGGCCAAGGAAAAAGAGACACGUAGUGUCAGGCAAAGCUCAGAAAAUUUCAGAGAAUUAGACUGGGAGGCAGACCAUCUCAGCCUGGAGCUAGCUUACUUUUGUACUUCUUGCAUGAGACAGUCCACAUUCUUACUGUUUAAGCUGCUCAAAAGGGUGUUUCUGUAACUACUUGCAGUGGAAAGAAAUGUGUCCAGAAUCUCUCAAAACCCUGAAUACCACAGUGCAUUGGCAGGGCAGGCUUUAUAUGGCCACAAACAACAAUAACACUGGAAUAUUCUAUUCACUCAUUCCCUCAGGUCAUGGUUUCCUACUUGAAAGCACCAUGGAUAAGUCCCUUUCUGCUGUUUCUCCCCAAAACAAGGAUAUGCAUCAUGAUUUCUUGAAGAUUCCACCAUUAGUCAUAGACGGGCCUGAAAAAUUGUACAAAUUAGAAGGCUCCAGGAUGCUUCUGUUGCAUGGGAAAUCAGAGACACAUAGUGCCUGCUCUUCCCAAGCAUUCAGACUAGUGAGAAAGGAAAGAGACAAAGGAGAUAGAAGAAGUGGAAUAAGGGGAAAGAUAAGAACUGGAAAGCUGAACCAUAGCCCAGACCCAAGCAGGAGAAAGAGCAAGAAAUGCCUAUGAGAAAGCCGGAAAGAAACCCCUGGAAUUUGGAAGAAAAUGUCUAAAAGGGAAUGGCAAGGAACCUGAGGAACCAGCGUGAGGAAAACCUGGAUGAUCUGACGUCUUCCUCACUUUAUCCCUACCUGUCCACGCCUCCAUCCAUCCACCCAUCCAUCACUGAUCAAGCUCUCACUAUGUCUAUAGUGUAGAAGGUGCCACCAAAUGCAAUGGAACCUCUUGUCUCAUGUGUCUACUUGCAUCUUUAAGUUGAUACACGGAAGGCACAGUCCAAGCACAGGAUACUGGAAGCUAUGGAGGUACAGUGGCCUCUGAGCAAACUGAAAACUCUCUAUCACUAAAGGGUUGGGCAUACAGGGUAUCUCCUCUGCUCUGCCACCUACCUUGAGGAUGCUUUACAUGUGGCUAAAAGUGGAGGCAGAGAUAUUUGGAUAAAUAAAUGCUAGAGAAUUGGAAAUUCCUAGGACAAGUCAAUUUGGAUAUGUCUAUGUCAUCCUUUUUUUUCUAAGAGACACGUAACUCUGAUCCUUAAGGAGUUAGAGAGUUCCCAUAGCUUAGGGUCUGGAAGCCAUAUUCCUUUUUAUGUAACAUCCUUGAAUAUGCUACUCGUAUACCCUAAAUUUACUCUGUAAUUUUUUUUUUUUUAUUUGAGAGGGAGUCUCACUCUGCUGCC
rnacentral:lncRNA from 1 species